AACCUGGUUGAUCCUGCCAGUAGUCAUAUGCUUGUCUUAAAGAUUAAGCCAUGCAUGUCUAAGUAUAAAUAGUAUACAGUGAAACUGCGAAUGGCUCAUUAAAACAGUUAUAGUUUAUUUGAUAGUGCACAUUACAUGGAUAACCGUGGUAAUUCUAGAGCUAAUACAUGCGCAAAUACCUGACUCACGAAAGGUAGCAUUUAUUAGAUUUAACCAUCAUAUGGUGAAUCAUAGUAACUUGGCGGACCGCGCUCCGGCGUGGUAAAUCAUUCAAGUUUCUGCCCUAUCAGCUUUCGAUGGUAGUGUAUUGGACUACCAUGGCAGUCACGGGUAACGGAGAAUUAGGGUUCGAUUCCGGAGAGGGAGCCUGAGAAACGGCUACCACAUCUAAGGAAGGCAGCAGGCGCGUAAAUUACCCAAUCCCAAUUCGGGGAGGUAGUGACAAGAAAUAACAACCUGAGUGGUUCGCCACUUCGGGAUUGCAAUGAGAUAAGUCUAAAUCCGUAAGCGAUUACCAAUUGGAGGGCAAGUCUGGUGCCAGCAGCCGCGGUAAUUCCAGCUCCAAUAGCGUAUACUUAAGUUGUUGCAGUUAAAAAGCUCGUAGUUGAAAAUCGAAUCAGCUUCAUUAUGGCUUCGGUCAUACUUGUUAGCUGGUUCUCCGUCUACAAACCUUUUUGCUCUUUUACGAGUGCAGCUUGGAGAGUAGACAAUUUACCUUGAAAAAAUUAGAGUGUUCCAGGCAGGUCUUCGCCGGAAUACAUUAGCAUGGAAUAAUGGAAUAGGACUAUGGUCUUUUGUUGGUUUUAGGGCCAGUGUAAUGAUUAAUAGGGACAGAUGGGGGCAUUAGUAUUUAAUUGUCAGAGGUGAAAUUCUUGGAUUUAUUAAAGACUAACUUAUGCGAAAGCAUUUGCCAAGGAUAUUUUCAUUAAUCAAGAACGAAAGUUAGGGGAUCAAAGACGAUCAGAUACCGUCGUAGUCUUAACUAUAAACUAUACCGACUCGAGAUCGGAAGGUGCUCAAUAAGGCCCUUUCGGCAUCGUAAGAGAAAUCAAAGUCUUUGGGUUCUGGGGGGAGUAUGGUCGCAAGGCUGAAACUUAAAGGAAUCGACGGAAGGGCACCACCAGGAGUGGAGCCUGCGGCUUAAUUUGACUCAACACGGGGAAACUUACCAGGUCAAAACAUGGAUGGGAUUGACAGAUUGAAAGCUCUUUCUUGAUUCUAUGGGUGGUGGUGCAUGGCCGUUCUUAGUUGGUGGAGUGAUUUGUCUGGUUAAUUCCGAUAACGAACGAGACCUUAACCUGCUAACUAGUUUGUACCUAAAAAAGGUAUAUAUCUUCUUAGAGGGACUAUGUAUGUUAAAUGCAUGGAAGUUUAAGGCAAUAACAGGUCUGUGAUGCCCCUAGAUGUCCUGGGCCGCACGCGCGCUACACUGACACGUCCAGCGAGUUUAAUCUCCUAUCUCGAAAGGGUAUGGGAAAUCUUGUUAGGACGUGUCGUGCUGGGGAUAGAUCUUUGCAAUUAUAGAUCUUGAACGAGGAAUUCCUUGUAAGCACAGGUCAUCAGCCUGUGCUGAAUACGUCCCUGCCCUUUGUACACACCGCCCGUCGCUCCUACCGAUUUCGAGUGAUGUGGUGAACUAUCUGACUGUGGACGGGCUUGAACCGUUCGCGGGAAGUUUCGUAAACCUUAUCACUUAGAGGAAGGAGAAGUCGUAACAAGGUUUCCGUAGGUGAACCUGCAGAAGGAUCA
rnacentral:rRNA from 1 species